rnacentral:piRNA from 1 species
UCACAGCCGAGGACAUUGAGAAGGCCCA